rnacentral:rRNA from 1 species
UAUUGCUCUUCAACGAGGAAUCCCUAGUAAGCGCAAGUCAUCAGCUUGCGUUGAUUACGUCCCUGCCCUUUGUACACACCGCCCGUCGCUACUACCGAUUGAAUGGCUCAGUGAGGCUUCCGGACUGGCCCAGGGAGGUCGGCAACGACACCCAGGGCCGGAAAGCUAUCCAAACUCGGUCAUUUAGAGGAAGUAAAAGU